UGAGAUAUUAGAUCCUUAAGUCAUACUCCCUCCGUUCCAAAAUAAGUGUCUUAACUUUGUACUAGCUCUAGUACAAAGUUGUACUAAGCUUGAGACAGUUAUUUUGGGACGGAGGGAGUAUUGCAGUGUCUGGAGGGUGCAAAAGAUGUUGCGUCACUGGCAUUGACAUGCCUAAGCUUGAAGGGUGAAGAUAGACCAACCAUGAGACAAGUGGAGAUGGCACUGGAAAGGUUGUUAGUAGCAAAUGAAAACACUGGACAAGGGCGUUCAAGCGAGCUAAACUAUACACCAACUCAAAUAAGCAAUAACAAUGAUGAGAAUAGUAGACAGUAUAGUGCGGAGCAGGCACUCUUACUAUCAGCAACCUUUCCUCGCUGAUCCGCUUCCGAGCACUUCUGCAUGUUCACUUCAUGUUCCUUCUGUGUAAGCGAGAUUAACUUAACUAUGUGUGCUUUUGCCGGCUGUAGUAUUUAUUUGGCGUUGUUCAGUUUGUAAUAAGGAUAGUUUGGUGGCACGCCAGGUUUUAUUCCCUCAGAUUAUGUUCCCAGCGAAUGUAACUAGAGCGUUUUCCUGUUGUGCAUCCAACUCAGCAGUCCUAUUUCCAUUUUCUACUAUUACGUUGAAUACUGUCUACAGUCUUGUAAGUUAAAAUUCUGUGAUCCUCUAUUCUAUUCUUGUUUUCCUCGGUUCAUGAACCAUUACAUUUCUAAUGUCCUCAUUUUUACUGCAUGAAAGCUAGCUAGCUCAUGAUGAAUUAUCUAUUUUCACUUUCC
rnacentral:lncRNA from 1 species